AUGAACGCUGGCGGCGUGCCUAAUACCUGCAAGUCGAGCGAACGGACGAGAAGCUUGCUUCUCUGAUGUUAGCGGCGGACGGGUGAGUAACACGUGGAUAACCUACCUAUAAGACUGGGAUAACUUCGGGAAACCGGAGCUAAUACCGGAUAAUAUUUUGAACCGCAUGGUUCAAAAGUGAAAGACGGUCUUGCUGUCACUUAUAGAUGGAUCCGCGCUGCAUUAGCUAGUUGGUAAGGUAACGGCUUACCAAGGCAACGAUGCAUAGCCGACCUGAGAGGGUGAGCGGCCACACUGGAACUGAGACACGGUCCAGACUCCUACGGGAGGCAGCAGUAGGGAAUCUUCCGCAAUGGGCGAAAGCCUGACGGAGCAACGCCGCGUGAGUGAUGAAGGUCUUCGGAUCGUAAAACUCUGUUAUUAGGGAAGAACAUAUGUGUAAGUAACUGUGCACAUCUUGACGGUACCUAAUCAGAAAGCCACGGCUAACUACGUG
rnacentral:rRNA from 1 species